AAGUGAGCGGAUGAACUGAGGGUAGCGGAGAAAUUCCAAUCGAACCUGGAGAUAGCUGGUUCUCUCCGAAAUAGCUUUAGGGCUAGCCUCAAGUGAUGAUUAUUGGAGGUAGAGCACUGUUUGGACGAGGGGCCCCUCUCGGGUUACCGAAUUCAGACAAACUCCGAAUGCCAAUUAAUUUAACUUGGGAGUCAGAACAUGGGUGAUAAGGUCCGUGUUCGAAAGGGAAACAGCCCAGACCACCAGCUAAGGUCCCAAAAUAUAUGUUAAGUGGAAAAGGAUGUGGCGUUGCCCAGACAACUAGGAUGUUGGCUUAGAAGCAGCCAUCAUUUAAAGAGUGCGUAAUAGCUCACUAGUCGAGUGACACUGCGCCGAAAAUGUACCGGGGCUAAACAUAUUACCGAAGCUGUGGAUUGUCCUUUGGACAAUGGUAGGAGAGCGUUCUAAGG
rnacentral:rRNA from 1 species